UUUCAACAAGUUUUUCUGAGAUCUUCCAUUUACAGUUUCAUGGAAAGACCACAUGAUCCAUUAUCUGUAGAAAGAUCGGACAGUUCUCUUUGGACUUUCUGUGACCCCAGUGGUUGGACGGAGAGCUGGGAGGAGAAGGAACAGGUAAGAUGUUUCGAUCACUGGUGCAAUCUAUGAUGCUGUCUUGAUGUAGCCUAACAUCUGUGAUGCAGUCUUGAUGUAGCCUACAGUCCGUGAUGCAGUCUUGCUGUAGCCUACCAUCCGUGAUGCCAUCUUGAUGUAACCUACCAUCCGUGAUGCCAUCUUGGCAUAACCUACCAUCCGUGAUGCCAUCUUGGCAUAACCUACCAUCUGUGAUGCCAUCUUGGCAUUGCCUACCAUCAUUGAUGCAAUCUUGGCAUAGCCUACCAUCAUUGAUGCAAUCUUGGCAUAGCCUACCAUCUGUGAUGCUGUCUUGAUGUAGCCUAUCAUCUGUGAUGCUGUCUUGAUGUAGCCUACCAUCUGUGAUGCUGUCUUGAUAUAGCCUACCCUCCGUGAUGCUGUUUGAUGUAGCCUACCAUCAGUGAUGCAAUCUUGGCAUAGUCUACCAUCUGUGAUGCUGUCUUGAUGUAGCCUAUCAUCUGUGAUGCUGUCUUGAUGUAGUCUACCAUCUUUAAUGCCAUCUUGAUGUAGCCUACCAUCUUUAAUGCCAUCUUGAUGUAGCCUACCAUCUGCAAAGCUUCUUUGAACUAGUUUACAGUUUUGUUACAAGUUAUAGCUUUAACAGUAAAGAAGAAGUUUUACUUAAACAGGUUCCAACAUUUUAAUUGCUAGUGUGAUAUUUCUCAAGUACACAGAUCGUAAUAGUAAAGAAGGUUUUUUGUACUUAAAUCAACAUUAAACAAUAUAACAAUGAAAGAAUAGGUAUUUAAAUUAGAGGAAUGAUAGUUGUUACUUAUGCAUGUACAUAUCAAUACAUGUGAAAUGACAGUUCAUUAAUUUGCAGCUGAUAAAAAAAUCUGAUGAAUUUAAGUAAAUGGAAGAUAUUGUGCAAAAAAUUUAGGUAAUAUUAGGAAUGUCUGGUGAAAUAAUGAUCAAAAACAAAGUGUCAUGCCUAGGUGUUUGAUUUUAUUAAUAAGGCUUCUUUGAUUUUUCUUCUGUCAGGUUCUUGUUUUAGCAUGUCUACAUUCUGUUUGGAAAACUGUAGUUGUUUUUCUUCAUAUGCUCAUGAACAUGGGAAUGGAGUUUUUGAUGUUCUUUUAAUCUAAUGUUCAAAUUAUAUCCUGUUUCACCUAUGUAAAAAGCUGGGAUCAGUAUUUGAUUGAGUAAAUUUAGACUUAUCAUUCAAUUAAGAAAUCAUAAUACAGUUUUCUUUAUUGGAAUUUUGUAUGACAAUAUCUUUGUUGCUUCUAAGAAGUUUUAGGCCAUUCAUUUCAACCCGUGUCAAAUUUUUUCACUAACUUCAUCUAUGAGGUUUUUUAAUGGGCUGGUUUUUGGUUUAGUUUGGAAAUUAUUUACUGAGUCAUUUAUAUCUUUUUUGGAAUGUGAAGAUUUCCAGAGAUUCUUUGUUGUCCUGCAACAAACCUAGUAAGGCUUCAUGAGAUCUUUAACGUGGGAUGAGUUACUGUUGACUGGAUUUAUGAUUUGAAUGUACUAUUACUUUCCAGGAAAGGUCUUCAAAACUAGUUUUUAAAUCAGACACUGGGAUAGUGACAGGAGUUAAGACCUUUGUUUAGUACUAUGGUUUGAGGUUAACUGAGUUGAAUGUUCACAAGGUUGAUUAUAUUGUCUUUAUGUCAGCUUCUGUUCUUCUGGACUGUGCAGACAGACAGUUUUUUUUUUUGUCUGAAUUUCUUUUGGUGGUUAAGCUUUUCAAGUAGGUUUUUUUCUGUAUUAAUAAUGAAAGUAAGUUGUACUUUUCUACUGACCAAUACAUCAGAAAGUCAAACCCACAUAUUAGGUCUUUCUUUCACAU